rnacentral:rRNA from 1 species
GUGCCAGCAGCCGCGGUAAAACGUAGGACACAAGCGUUAUCCGGAGUUACUGGGCGUAAAGGGCGUUUAGGCGGGUGAUUAAGUUCGCUAUGAAAGCGCCAGGCUAAACCUGGCGAGGCUGGCGGAUACUGGUCAUCUGGAGUGAGUCAGAGGAAGGUAGAAUUCCGCGUGUAGUGGUGAAAUGCGUAGAGAUGCGGAGGAAUACCAGUGGCGAAGGCGGCCUUCUGGGACUCAACUGACGCUGAAGCGCGAAAGCAUGGGGAGCGAACGGGAUUAGAAACCCCGGUAGUCC